rnacentral:rRNA from 1 species
CGCGGCCUAUCAGCUUGUUGGUGGGGUAACGGCCCACCUAGGCGACGACGGGUAGCCGGCCUGAGAGGGCGACCGGCCACACUGGGACUGAGACACGGCCCAGACUCCUACGGGAGGCAGCGGUGGGGAAUAUUGCACAAUGGGCGAAAGCCUGAUGCAGCGACGCCGCGUGAGGGAUGACGGCCUUCGGGUUGUAAGCCUCUUUCAGCAGGGAAGAAGCGAAAGUGACGGUACCUGCAGAAGAAGCGCCGGCUAACUACGUGCCAGCAGCCGCGGUAAUACGUAGGGCGCAAGCGUUGUCCGGAAUUAUUGGGCGUAAAGAGCUCGUAGGCGGCUUGUCACGUCGGAUGUGAAAGCCCGAGGCUUAACCUCGGGUCUGCAUUCGAUACGGGCUAGCUAGAGUGUGGUAGGGGAGAUCGGAAUUCCUGGUGUAGCGGUGAAAUGCGCGGAUAUCAGGAGGAACACCGGUGGCGAAGGCGGAUCUCUGGGCCAUUACUGACGCUGAGGAGCGAAAGCGUGGGGAGCGACCAGGAUUAGAUACCCUGGUAGUCCACGCCGUAAACGUUGGGAACUAGGUGUUGGCGACAUUCCACGUCGUCGGUGCCGCAGCUAACGCAUUAAGUUCCCCGCCUGGGGAGUACGG